GACAGAGGAUGCAAGCGUUAUCCGGAAUGAUUGGGCGUAAAGCGUCUGUAGGUGGCUUUUUAAGUUCGCCGUCAAAUCCCAGGGCUCAACCCUGGACAGGUGGUGGAAACUACCAAGCUAGAGUACGGUAGGGGCAGAGGGAAUUUCCGGUGGAGCGAUGAAAUGCGUAGAGAUCGGAAGGAACACCAAUGGCGAAGGCAGCUCGCUGGGACGUGACUGACGCUGAGACGCGAAAGCGUGGGGAGCAAACAGG
rnacentral:rRNA from 1 species